rnacentral:rRNA from 1 species
AACGAACGCUGGCGGCAAGCUUAACACAUGCAAGUCGAGCGCCCCGCAAGGGGGGCGGCAGACGGGUGAGUAACGCGUGGGAAUCUACCCAUCUCUACGGAAUAACGCAUGGAAACGUGUGCUAAUACCGUAUACGUCCUUCGGGAGAAAGAUUUAUCGGAGAUGGAUGAGCCCGCGUUGGAUUAGCUAGUUGGUGGGGUAAGGCCUACCAAGGCGACGAUCCAUAGCUGGUCUGAGAGGAUGAUCAGCCACACUGGGACUGAGACACGGCCCAGACUCCUACGGGAGGCAGCAGUGGGGAAUAUUGGACAAUGGGCGCAAGCCUGAUCCAGCCAUGCCGCGUGAGUGAUGAAGGCCCUAGGGUUGUAAAGCUCUUUCACCGGUGAAGAUAAUGACGGUAACCGGAGAAGAAGCCCCGGCUAACUUCGUGCCAGCCGCCGCAGUAAAAC